UCAUCUGAUUUUUGAGUGCCCUAUAAAUAUGUCACCCAAUUUUGACCUAUAUAAAGAAUUAGCCAAGACAAAUAUCCCUACUCCCAUUGAAAUUUGCCUACUUAUGUCAAACCUUAAUCCACGUAGGAUUAACCUGAUCCUUAAAUUCCUUAACUUAGCCAAACUUAAUUUAUAAAUUAAUCAAUUCCCAAAGUUGAAUUAAAAAAAUUAAGAAGAUAAAGAUAUAAAAAGAUAUUGGACCUCCAAAUGAUAAAAGCCUUAACCCUUAUGGUAUAAUAUUGCCUUUCCUGUAGGGACUGUCUGGCCCUAUACGAAGAUGUUCCUGCUAAUAUAUAUUUAAAAAAAAAAUUGAGGCUUUAACAUAUAUAUUUGGAAAUAUUCGACUGCCCAGAGCAAGACAAGAGUAUUUCCCUGGUGUAAGCUGGGCGAAUUAUCCCGAGGGAUAUAACCCAAUAAAGGAAGAAGAAGAAGAAGAAGUUACAGAGGUUAUGUUGAUUUUCAUUGUUUAUCUUCGUAUUUUAUUUUGGAUUCAUUGGGAUUCAUUUGGAUUUCGUUUGCUGUUUUUGGUGAACUUUAUAAACCUUACCACAAUGCAAAGUGAUUCUUUAAGGAAAUUAUUAUUGGAAACUCCAGAUGUUGGAGAAAGAUAUUUAUUGAAGCUGAAAAUAAUUGGAGAUUUAGAUCCAUAUACAAUUCAGUCAGAAUUGGAUUUUACAGUAAAAUGCAUUCCACCAAAUUACUAUUAUAGAUAUUUAUAGGUACAUAUCUGGUGGAGUCUCACAGUUACUACUAUAAGCAGCAGAUGAAAGCAUACAAAAGCCUUCAGGCACAUAAAUAUUUUACAGCUGGAUUUGUUUUGAAAGUUGGAGUAAAAAUUGUUAAUGAUUUCUAUAUUAUUCUUGGAAAGAUGAAGGGUUCCCAAAAAGCUAAUGCUAAACCACUAAAUGCUUGGGUGGGGUGAUAGCCAGUUAUGAUGACAUAGCAAAUGCACAUUGUAUGUGUGUGUAUGGCCGGUAAUAGUGAAGUUUGCAGCUGAAUAUGCCCACAGCAAGACAGAAGAAGAAGAACCCAAUGCAUGUACAGAUGUUAGUGAGCUCGCACACCAAAGCACUAUCCUACAUCACAUGAAUUGCGAAAAGAUAUGCACUGAGUGGUCACUCGAAAGUUACCGAAAACCAGAUGUGACACUCAGUGUCAGAACAUACUGUUCAGUUUUAGUGUUAUAACUUUUAAGAUAAAUGGUUAUAUCUUUACGUAUAACUCUAUAUCCCAAAAAUAAAUCACCCUUUUAAUUAAAUUAACUUAUUUUUGUCUAUUAUAUUCCAAGAUAUAACUGUUUUUCUUAAAGCAAAUAACGUUCUGUAGAGAAAGUUAGGGGAAAACCAAAGAGUUACAUCUGCCAUCUCUCAGAUACUACUGUACUUACAAAUGCAACUAUUUUUUCCAUAGUAGAAGUCAUUAUUUGGAAGGUAUUGAUGCAAUAAAAAAAACUUUAACAUUUUGAGAUGUAACCCUCUUCUUCCAAAUUAACGAUAUGUCUGAUGGUUGGCAACGGUUGCUGAUCGUUUGGAUCAUACUAUGAACAAAACCUAUUAGGUCUGGAUACCGAGUACCAAAAAAAUUAAUUGAUAGCAAGCUGAAAAUUUGUUAAUAGCUUAAUGGUGUCUAGUUGGACAAACUUUGAUGUAUGGGGACACUGGAACAGUUUAAAAAUUUGGAACGUCAGAUUACAAAAAUGUCCCAUGUAUUUUGUCAGACAGAACAUCCAAUUGAUUUGUUACCCUUUCAUCAAACUCUCCUGCAAAGAUCAGACUGCUAUUACUAACUAACAUGAUUCCUGUCAUUUGAUCUGUUCUUAGUGUCCCACUCAUUAAAAUGCCCAUUUGGUGAUAAACACCAGUCUGAUUUUCACAUGAGAGUUUAAUGAAAUGGUAACAAAUCAAUUGGAAGUUCUAUCUAAAUACAUGGAACGUUUUCAUAGUCUGACGGUCCAAAUUCUUAACCUGUUCCACAGUUAAAACUUCCCGUUCCAGAGUUCCCAUACAUCAAAGUUUGUCCGACUAGACACUGUUAAGUUAUAACAAAUUUUCAGCUUGCUAUUAAUCAACUUUUUUUGGUAUGUGGAAUCCAGGUCUAUAUGGAAAAAAAUAAAUAAAACAGAUUCUCUGUCAAAACUGCAUUUAUUUUGAAUAGAAUGAAAAAACAAAAUAAUAUUGUUUUAACAAAAUAGGGGAUAAAUGUUAAAAUUUAGUAUUAAUAAUGUUUUUCACAUUGGCCUAUCCUGGUCAGCUUGACUUCCACAGUUCACUACUAUACAAGUCACAGGCAUGUUUUCAGCACUCAAAAUCACCAAAAACGAAAACUUUAUAAAAUAAUUAAUCUAAUGAAUGUCUUUAAAUACUAUAUUAGGUCAAAAUCACGACAAAAAACAAAUUAAUAUUAUCCGGAUCAGUUGGACUUCCACAGUUCACUACUAUACAAGUCACAUGCAAGUUGUCAGCACUCAAAAUCACCAAAAACGAAAAAAGUUUAUAAAAUAAUUAAUCUAAUGAAUGUCUUUAAAUACUAUACUACCUCAAAAUCACGACAAAAAACAAAUAAGAAAAAUCAAUAAUUACAUUGAGUUUAGGUUACUAUUAAUAAACAAAGUCUCCUAACUUAAAAAUAUGCCAUGCCUUCCACUCAACGUGAAAGAAGAAUGACCCAACCUGAAAGAAAAACAAAGGCCCUUAGCUCGGUUACUGCAAUAGCCCCCAGAGGGCGUAUUGCUUAGGACGAGAUGCCAAUAGAAAACGACAAUGUCAACAACUCUUUUCCUAGCGAUACCUAUAGGGGAUUGACCAAAACAUUUAGGUAUAUCUGGAAUUUCAACAAUAUCUUAUAAAUGAGCAUUUAUAAGAUAUUGUCGUUCUGCUAUGUAAAUCCAAACUAAAAGUACAAAUUUCUGAAGAUGUAAGGGGCAUGCAGAAAAAUGACAAAUUAGUGUGCCAUUUUAUGAUAUUUAUUGAUACCCCUUUGACUGAGAAAUGCCAAUACAUUUUGGAAAAUUUACAUUUUUAAUGUUUUUUCUUAGCCUUCUGAAAAUUUUCAUAACAUGGAUCUAGCCGAUUUUGAUUCUAUAGGCCUCAAAUAUAAAUAAUCGACCGAAUCAAUACAUUGAUAAUAUUAGUGAAUGUGUUACACAACGGGAUAAUAAAUAAUAAUAAUAAAACCAGACAUUUGCAAAAAGCAAUUUUUUAUGACAUGAAAGCUGACGGAGAAAAAUUCUUCGUGAGUGGUUAGUGUUAGUGUACAGUCCUAAAUGUAGCCUUGUUACGUUUGUAGACUGAUUUCCACGAAAAUUAUUAUUUUUCUAACUUUCGGUAGGUAUACUUAACCCUUAAACGCCCAACCUUUUUUAGGUUCCAUGUACGCCCAAGGGUGGGUAAAAAAUGUCCACCUCGAAAAUAGCUAAUAUAUUUAUUGAGAGUUGUUGGAAAUGGAUUAAACUUAAGGAUCUUAUGCUUAAUAAACGCAGCAUCUUGUAAAAUAUUAAUAUAAACAAUUUACAAACCUUACAACAAAAUUACAAUGUACAUCAAAAUUAACAUACCAGUAAAAGCCAGUAAUUCAAAUUUGUAGAUUUUCUCCAUAUUCUUCCUUCCAGCCUCCUCAUUGGCGGAUAAUUAUGUCGAUUAUGUAAUUAUACGUCGAUAAUUAUAUGGUUUAUGUUCCUACCAACGAGAAAUCAUAUAGAAAACUUUAGUAACAAGUUUUACCAAGGGUGUACUUUUUAUGCCCACCCAUAUUUAACUCAAGCUAUUACUUUUAUUUUCAAAAAUAUCGGUAGAAACAAUUUAACAUUCGAUAAAAGGCUGUCUUUUUAACAAUAAAUAAUUUUUGUAAAAUUUUUAAACACGUAAUAAAUAAUAUGUUACAAGGGAAUACGCAUUAGGUGGACAUUUUUUACCCACCCUUGGGCGUUUAAGGGUUUGACUGAAAAAAUAUCAAUAGGAUAGUUAUUCAACAUGAGUGCGCGAUCUCCUGAAUGUAUUUCAUCAAUUGGUACGUUAGUCAAGAGAAGAAGUACCUAUAGCAGGAAAAAUUGUAACAUUAAUGGAAAAAAGUUAUUUAGAAGAAAAGGCACGUUGGAGAAACAUCUUUCAACGAAUAACAGCAAUAGCAACCAUUAAAUUUUUGUCAAAGAACGGACUAUCCUUUUAUGGUUAAACAACCAAAUAAUUUACAAAAGGAAAUGACAUAUAUAAUAUAUACAGUGUGUCGCAUUUAAGACAAAGACAGCCAUACAUUUUGGCUAUCAAAAUAAAUACAAAUGUAAAGUUUUGUACAGUUAUGCAGGUUGAAUGAUCACAUUUUUUAAGAUACUCAGCUGAAAUUUAAAUUUUAAACGCAGCCUACUGCGACUCCAAAAAUAGGGUAAAAUUUCGAUAUUUUGCU